UGGGGAAUUUUGGACAAUGGGCGAAAGCCUGAUCCAGCAAUGCCGCGUGUGUGAAGAAGGCCUUCGGGUUGUAAAGCACUUUUGUCCGGAAAGAAAUCCUUGGCUCUAAUACAGUCGGGGGAUGACGGUACCGGAAGAAUAAGCACCGGCUAACUACGUGCCAGCAGCCGCGGUAAUACGUAGGGUGCAAGCGUUAAUCGGAAUUACUGGGCGUAAAGCGUGCGCAGGCGGUUUGCUAAGACCGAUGUGAAAUCCCCGGGCUCAACCUGGGAACUGCAUUGGUGACUGGCAGGCUAGAGUAUGGCAGAGGGGGGUAGAAUUCCACGUGUAGCAGUGAAAUGCGUAGAGAUGUGGAGGAAUACCGAUGGCGAAGGCAGCCCCCUGGGCCAAUACUGACGCUCAUGCACGAAAGCGUGGGGAGCAAACAGGACUAGAUACCCUGGUAGUCCACGCCCUAAACGAUGUCAACUAGUUGUUGGGGAUUCAUUUCCUUAGUAACGUAGCUAACGCGUGAAGUUGACCGCCUGGGGAGUACGGUCGCAAGAUUAAAACUUAAAUGAAUUGACGGGGUCAUAGCUGUUUCC
rnacentral:rRNA from 1 species